rnacentral:rRNA from 1 species
UACGAGGGGUCCUAGCGUUGUCCGGAUUUACUGGGCGUAAAGAGUAUGUAGGCGGCUAGAUAAGUCAGACGUGUAAGCCCAUGGCUCAACCAUGGAAUUGCGUUUGAAACUAUUUAGCUUGAGUGCAGGAGAGGAAAGCGGAAUUCCCAGUGUAGCGGUGAAAUGCAUUGAUAUUGGGAAGAACACCGGUGGCGAAGGCGGCUUUCUGGUCUGCUACUGACGCUGAGAUACGAAAGCCAGGGGAGCAAAGGGG